rnacentral:rRNA from 1 species
AUUGAACGCUGGCGGCAUGCCUUACACAUGCAAGUCGAACGGCAGCACGGGGCAACCUGGUGGCGAGUGGCGAACGGGUGAGUAAUGCAUCGGAACGUGCCAUUGAGUGGGGGAUAACGUAGCGAAAGUUGCGCUAAUACCGCAUAUUCUGUGAGCAGGAAAGCAGGGGACCGCAAGGCCUUGCGCUCUUUGAGCGGCCGAUGUCAGAUUAGCUAGUUGGUGAGGUAACGGCUUACCAAGGCGACGAUCUGUAGCGGGUCUGAGAGGAUGAUCCGCCACACUGGAACUGAGACACGGUCCAGACUCCUACGGGAGGCAGCAGUGGGGAAUUUUGGACAAUGGGCGCAAGCCUGAUCCAGCCAUGCCGCGUGAGUGAAGAAGGCCUUCGGGUUGUUAAA